rfam:Herminiimonas arsenicoxydans chromosome, complete sequence.
UCGUUGUUCACGGUGUGUGGGGUGAGAACUCUGUGCAUCGCAUGUGAAAGGUAAUUCAAUCAUGUCUCUCGAAAAAACAAGCAAAGCUGCCAUCGUUGCAGAUAACGCACGUGGCGCA